CUUUUGGUUUAGUAGAGAUUAUUAUAUAGUAAUAAAGUUGUAGCACCAUAUAAACAAGUUCUACGCUACUGAGGCUGCAUUAGUAAACCUGUUUAUUUGUUUGCGUGCAGUGUGACAGUUGGUUUUGUAUUGCUUUGUUCUUUUCACAUACAUAAAUAUAAGUUCAGGUGAAAGAACCCAGACUGCUCCGAUUCAUAAACAGUCUGAGUGCUAGCAGAACUAAGAUUCAGUUCAGUAAGAAACUAAGAAUCUUAGUUACAUGACUGCUCUGAUUCACAAACACUGCAAUGUUGGUUCUUUUUUUUUUCCUGAUAUUGGUCAAAAUGUAGAUUUCUAUAGCUUAACUGAUAUUGUUUGUGCCUGGAUUAAUUUGUGUACAUGGCUGUUGAGUGAAUACUUUGUUCUUGAUCCUGAGCUUGACUCCAAUUGCAUCAAACAUUAAAAUUCGAUUUGUGAAGUCAGUUAUGCUUGAUCUCUCAGUAGUUGUAAACUUGUAACCCUGAGUCCUGACCAGUGCUUUAAAUUACUUUCAGGUGAAAGGAGUGCCAAGUAUGAGAAGACAUAUGACCAGUGCUUGAACAUCAGUUUUGAACUAAAUUAGGGCAGCCAGGCAGUCGUGGCAGCACUUCUUUGUUAUGUUAAGCAGCACUUCUGGCAGCAGCAUGCAACAUCAGUUGAAAAAAAAGAACAGAACCAACCAGCCUGUGUACUGAUUUCAUGGAGGAUGAAGGGUCCCCAAAUGAACCGGAGCCAUUAGAUCACGAGGCAAAUUCAGAUCGACCUAACGAGUCACAAAAUCAAGCGACCCAAACGAAGAAAAGGAAGCCAAAAGGACCUUCAAAAGGGCUAUAAUCCAUGUAUGGGGUUCCAAGAGUGAUUGAAUGAGAUUACUUGGACCGACCCAUAGGAAAAUGGGCAAAAGAAUACAAGAAUUGGCUAAAACCCAUGCCAGGGUUCCAAGAGUGAUUGAAUGGGGUUACUUUGACCGACCCAUAGGAAAAUGGGCAAAAGAAUAUAAGAAUCACAUUGGCGAGAUAAGCCGCACAAAAUUCUCAUUACUGAAUAAAGAUUGGGAAGACGUUUCACAAGGAAUAAAAGACACAUUGUGGGAAGAUAAGAAAGAGUUUUGUUAGGGGGGGAAAAUACCCUCUUGAUGACGUGGUCAGAUAUGCCAAGUUGAGCACAUGUGGCUGCCAGCAAAGCGUGACAAGGCACCUUUCCAUCUUGCUCUCAACGGCUAAAGAAAGGGUGGCGGUUACAAGCCGUUCCCAGCAAGCCCUAAUUACCUACUUAAUGCCCAAUUGUGUACAUUUAAUGACCAUACGUUACAUUUCAUUAUGUAAAGCCUAUAAAAUGGCUUAGCUAGAUCAGUUUACAUACACGAUAUACUCAUU